rnacentral:misc_RNA from 1 species
CCUAGAUUGGGCCCCUCAAGGCCUUCUGUGGCGCCGUCCCCCCUCGGGGGACCGCGGCGUCCGCAGUUAAACCCCCUGUGAAAACCCUUGUUGCUUCGGCAGCGCCUCCCCGCCCCGGCGGGGAGGGUCAGCCUGCCGACGGCACCCGGAAACUCAUUUCGCAAAGAGUAAAUCGUCUGAUAAUUAGUCGAAUGACUGUUA